rnacentral:rRNA from 1 species
UACGUAGGGUCCAAGCGUUAUCCGGAAUCACUGGGCGUAAAGCGUGCGUAGGUGGAUUGUUAAGUGCGGUGCGAAAUCCUGUGGCUCAACCAUAUGGACUGUAUCGCAUACUGGCAACCUAGAGGACAUGAGAGGCAAGUGGAAUUACUGGUGUAGCAGUGAAAUGCGUAGAUAUCGAGAGGAACACCUGCGGCGAAGGCGGGUUGCUGGGCUGACACUGACGCUGAGGCGCGAAAGCUAGGGGAGCGAACGGG